UGAGAUAGUAUUGAGAGUGCUUCCUCCAGCUCACGGUGAAGCUUCGUGGCUCAUCUCUAACUCGGAGAAGAAAAGAUGAAGAAACUGAGGCACAGAAGAACUGUCUCCUGGCCAAACUCAUGCAGCUGCUAAGAGAGGUGUCAAGCUUUGGAAUCAGAUUUCAUGGGAUCAUCCCAGCUCAACUAGUUUUCAGACUGAAGUAUUUUGCUUCAACACACCAAAGAGAAGUCCUGGCAGCAGAAAAUGUCAUCCAUAACCUAUGAUGUAGUCAUUGCUUAGGUGAAGGAAUCCAUGUUUUCUUUGAUAUGGUCUGGUGGAUUAAAAGAAGGAAACUUAUCACUUGAAAAAUAUAUCUGGUUUUGACAGGUAA